rnacentral:rRNA from 1 species
GGGGAUAACGUUUGGAAACGAACGCUAAUACCGCAUAAGACCACACUUCCACAUGGGAGAGGGGUCAAAGGAGCAAUCCGCUGAAAGAUGGGCUCGCGUCCGAUUAGAUAGUUGGGGGGGUAACGGCCCACCAAGUCGACGAUCGGUAGCCGGACUGAGAGGUUGAACGGCCACAUUGGGACUGAGACACGGCCCAGACUCCUACGGGAGGCAGCAGUGAGGGAUAUUGGUCAAUGGGGGAAACCCUGAACCAGCAACGCCGCGUGAGGGAGGACGGUUUUCGGAUUGUAAACCUCUGUCCUCUGUGAAGAUAAUGACGGUAGCAGAGGAGGAAGCUCCGGCUAACUACGUGCCAGCAGCCGCGGUAAUACGUAGGGAGCGAGCGUUGUCCGGAUUUACUGGGUGUAAAGGGUGCGUAGGCGGGUAAGCAAGUCAGAAGUGAAAUCCAUGGGCUUAACCCAUGAACUGCUUUUGAAACUGUUUAUCUUGAGUGAAGUAGAGGUAGGCGGAAUUCCCGGUGUAGCGGUGAAAUGCGUAGAGAUCGGGAGGAACACCAGUGGCGAAGGCGGCCUACUGGGCUUUAACUGACGCUGAAGCACGAAAGCGUGGGUAGCAAACAGGAUUAGAUACCCU